CCGUGUGCGCGCGAGGAUUUCUUUUGCAGAGAAUGAAACCACCGUUCCUUUCCGUCCGUGGUCUACUCCGGGGUCCCCAUCCCACGCCAUAUUCUGCUGAUGGAGAAAUGGGAUCUCACCCAAGGAAAGUGACUUGCCAGGGUUACACCACUGGUAAGUGGAGACCUAUGACUUGAACCUGUCUCUAACUCCAGAGACUGUACUUUCUCGAUCUCUCCCAAAAAGGAUGCUUGUAGAAAACGAUGAUUCUGAAAUGGUACAAAUCCCUUUCCCAAAAGGCAUCUCAAAGCCAGCCGCUGCUACUGACUUAUUGAUGGCUAUCACCCAGUGGCCUUGGGGAGGCGGUGGGAAGCCCAACCACUGCCUGUAAUAAGGAGAGACAACUCAGCAUCCACCCUGCAGUGAAUAAUAGAACAAAAAGCUGCCGGCGCCUGCAGGAUCAAAGCACAUGAGCGAUCACAGUGUCUCUGGGUUAAAUAGAUCCGCGAAGGCCAGGCAGCCAGCAGAUGUCAUGGAACUUUUUGGGGGAGAAGUCUGGGUUAUGGAGGAAGCCUCAGCUGGAUUUCAGUACCUUACAAGAUGCUCUUCUGUGGCUCUCUCCUGCUAACCUUCCUUGGACAUGGAAUAAUCUUCCCUUUAUCCUCCCUCUUCACCACUGCUGUUCCCAAAGUCUAAAAAGAUGGGGGCAGGAGGUGAGACAGGAGGGGAUGGGAAAAGAAUACUGGACCAGGAGGCAGGAGACACUGGAUCUGUGAGUGAAGGCAAUGCUGAAUGACUUCCAUGGCCUCAGUCUCCCCAUCUGUAAAAUGGGAAGGUUGAUAUAUGGCCUCAACCUUUCUGCCCACUUUGAUAAACCAUAUUUCACCAAAAAGAGGCAGAGGGGAUCUGUUGCUUUUCAGAUUCCUGUCCAGUUACUUCUAGGUCAGACAGAAUGAUUGCCCCAAUGAUUCUGGGUCCGCAGACUCAGUCUGUGAAACCCCAUUUCUUGGAGGAGUUGGGAUCAGGACAGGCAAGAAGACUAUACUAUUCCUGCCUCCUAUUUGCUCCCUCUUGCCAGUGGGGAAAUCAGUGGCAACCUUAGAGUAAUCUUGGAGGGGUGGGGGGAUGAGUUAUUAUUGGGAUUUUUAUCUGCAAAGAAUAUUUUCAGAUGUUGUUUGUGCAUUUAAAUGUACAUGCAGUUCUAGAGGAGAAGACUCUAGUGGUUGCGGUGCUGUGAGGCAUUUUGCAUAUAUUUAUCUCACUCAAGAAGAACUGUGGGGUCCUUGUGAAAGUAAGUGUGUAUGUGUGUGUGUGUGUGUGUGCGCAUGUCCUGAGUCAGCCUGAGUCCUGAGCCUUUUGUCUUUGCUCCUGAGUAAGCCACUGGGGGAGGUAAAUAUAUAAUUGGAGGAAGAAAUGUGUCAGAAAAUAACUUCUUUACUUGUGGAAAGUCAUUGAAAACCCUUGGUUUUGCGUAUGAGCACAGCACCCUGUAGGCAGGUGAGGAGUCUUAGAACACGGCGGGGAGCGAACCAGACACGUACUAAAGAAACCUCCAUGUUUGAUAUAAACCCAAUGCACAGGUCCACACAGACAGGGCAUGGAGGUGUGCUCCACAGGGCCACCACACGGACCUCUGUGAUGGCAAGCCCGGAUGCAUGUACAACUAAACAUCCUCACAGAUACACUUUAAUGUAGGUGGAGACCUGGUGUUAUGGGUUAGACUAUGUCCCCCCACAAAAUAUAUGCUCAAGUCUCAUCUGCCAUCUACAUUAUUUGGAAAUAGGGUCUUUGCAGAUGUAAACUGGUUAAGAUAAUAAAAAAAAAAAUAAAUAAAUAAAGGUAAUGGCAACAAUGAAAAAAAAAAGUAAGUCAUCCUGGGAUAGGGUGGGAGAGCCCUAAUUCAAUGUGACUGGUGUCCUCGAAAGAAGAGGGGAAUUUGGACACAGAGACACAGCUGAACUUACUGAGCAGAGCCUCCCAGAUGCUGCAAACUCAAGGAGGCCUCUGUGCUCAUAUCUUUAUUCUCUCUCUCUCUCUCUCUCUCUCUGUCUCUGGUACAGCGUUUAUGCUUUUUGGCAGUUCUUUCCUCUUCAUUCCCCCAUCUCUCCAAUUACACAUUCAUAUACACAUAAACACUCCGAUACCCUCAAACUACCAGAAGCCACGUCAGAGACUUGAGAACUUUGGACCAGGAACUGAUGGAGACAAAGAUGACCUAGGAAGAUGGCUACAUUGGGAAUGGAGGCAGAGAUUGGAGUUAUGUGGCCACAAGGGAAGGAACUCCUGGGGCUCCCAGAAGCUGGAAGAAACAAGGAUCCUUCCCCUAUAGGCUUUGGAGGGAGCGUGGCUCUGCAACACCUUGGUUUUGGACUUCUAGCUCCAGAAGUGUAAGAGAAUAAAUUUCUGUGAUCUCAUAUUCAGUUCAUGGUGCUAUAUCAUGGUAGCCCUAGAAACUAAGAUACACAGGUAUGUUGGAUGUAUGGGUCAGGCCCACACCCAGGGUGCAUACGGCCUUUGGUUAAAAAAAAACUCUCAUUUCUGUGGGGAAUCCAUUGCCAGUGGUCUGGAUGACAUGGCCACUGCCUCUCUUCAGGGAUGUGCACAAGACCCUGGCCUGGCCAAUCAGAAUACCUCAUGCCCAGGACCACAGUAACUGGGUCAGGGGUUGUCAAGAUUUAUAUAAAUGAUUUACAUAAAAUGUUUAAAUGUUUUGUUAAAAUAUUUAAAAUAAAAAAUGUUUCUAAGA
rnacentral:lncRNA from 1 species